rnacentral:rRNA from 1 species
GACGUAGGUGGCGAACGUUAUCCGGAAUUAUUGGGCGUAAAGGAUGCGUAGAUGGUGUAGUAAGUUAUCGGUGGCAAAUCGAGGCUCAACCUCGUGGAAGUCGGUAAUACUGCUAUGCUAGAGGAUAGGAGAGGUUAACGGAACUCCCUGUGGAGCGGUGAAAUGCGUAGAUAUAGGGAAGAACACCAAUCAGGCGAAGGCAGUUAACUAUUCUAUUCCUGACACUGAGGAGCGAAAGCGUGGGGAGCGAACAGG